rnacentral:rRNA from 1 species
CCUACGGGAGGCAGCAGUGAGGAAUAUUGGUCAAUGGCCGGAAGGCUGAACCAGCCAAGCCGCGUGAAGGACGAAGGUGCCAAGCAUUGUAAACUUCUUUUGUCAAGGGACAAAAUCAGGCUCGAGAGCCUGCCCGAGGGUACUUGAAGAACAAGCAUCGGCUAACUCCGUGCCAGCAGCCGCGGUAAUACGGAGGAUGCGAGCGUUAUCCGGAUUUAUUGGGUUUAAAGGGAGCGUAGGUGGAUUGUUAAGUCAGUUGUGAAAGUUUGCGGCUCAACCGUAAAAUUGCAGUUGAAACUGGCAGUCUUGAGUACAGUAGAGGUGGGCGGAAUUCGUGGUGUAGCGGUGAAAUGCUUAGAUAUCACGAAGAACUCCGAUUGCGAAGGCAGCUCACUGGACUGCAACUGACACUGAUGCUCGAAAGUGUGGGUAUCAAACAGGAUUAGAUACCCUUGUAGUC